rnacentral:rRNA from 1 species
GAUUUCUGGCUUGGUGCGCCUGGCCCGCCACGGUAACGUGUGUGAGUGCUGGGUCGUGCCUGCCAUCUAUCUGGAGAACGCAUGUGCCCUUCACUGGGUUGCAUGCGCGAUCCAGAUCAUUUACUUUGAAAAAAUUAGAGUGUUUAAAGCAGGCGUUUGCUAUGAAUACAUUAGCAUGGAAUAAUAAUUUAGGACUUCGGUUCUAUUUUGUUGGUUUCUAGGACUGAAGUAAUGAUUGAUAGGGUCAGUUGGGGGUGCUAGUAUUCAGCGGCCAGAGGUGAAAUUCUUGGAUUCGAUGAAGACUAACUUAUGCGAAAGCAUU